GCACAGAGUGCGGCUCAGUGGCAGAGUAUCUGGUUUUGUAUGCAGAAGGUUCUAGGUUCAAUCCUUGGUAUUUGCA
rnacentral:tRNA from 1 species